CAGCCGCCACGGUAAUACGUAGGUGGCAAGCGUUGUCCGGAAUUAUUGGGCGUAAAGGGCUCGCAGGCGGUUUCUUAAGUCUGAUGUGGAAGCCCCCGGCUCAACCGGGGAGGGUCAUUGGAAACUGGGAAACUUGAGUGCAGAAGAGGAGAGUGGAAUUCCACGUGUAGCGGUGAAAUGCGUAGAGAUGUGGAGGAACACCAGUGGCGAAGGCGACUCUCUGGUCUGUAACUGACGCUGAGGAGCGAAAGUUAGGGGAGCAAAUGGGAUUAGAUACCCGUGUAGUCCCUGUCUCUUAUAA
rnacentral:rRNA from 1 species